rnacentral:lncRNA from 1 species
UGGGCCUGGAUUCUACUAAGGUGCUAAUGAAUUUACAAAGCAAUGGUUGUUCUCAUUUUGAGUAAGUGGAAUAAGGAAGAUGGAAUAUGGAAUCUUAUGACUGAAGGCCGUUCAGUCGAUUCUGGGAGUGAAGCACUGUUGCCACCUACUGUGAAGAGUGCGGUAAUGAUGAUGACAAAGGAAAAUGAACAGAGAGUAAUAAUAGAGUUUUAAAUAAAUUAUGAAGUAAAAAUUAAGCGGAUCCAUCCAUACAAGUUACAGUACUCUUGAACUGAAUUGCCAGUAAAAAUAGUUACUGAAUAGAAUGAACCAGGUCUGCUAGGAGUCCUGUGAAGCCAGGCCUUUGGAGCUGUGGGAAUUUUUUUUUUUUAAUAGAUGGGGUCUUACUAUGUAGCCCAGGCUAGGCUCAAACUCUUGGGCUCAGUGAUCCUCCCCUGUAGCUGAGACUACAAGAAUGCACCACCAUGCCUGGCUAAGGAUCUAUGGGCUUUUAAGAUAGCCUUCCUUGAAGUUUUUGGUUUAGGGAUUUUUUUAUUUUUAUUUUUUUUUGAGACAGGGUCUCGCUGUAUGGCCCAUGCUGGAGUGCAGCUGCGUGAUCACAGUUCACUGCAGACUUGACCUCCUGCAGGUGAUCUUCCCACCUCAGCCUCCAGAAUAGCUAGGACCACAGGUAUAGGUCACCAUGCCUAGCUGAAGGUUUUUGGGUUUUUUUAAAUACACACGUGUACACACAAUUUCCUGAAUUUGUACAUUUUUUUCCCUUCAAC